rnacentral:siRNA from 1 species
CUGUCACCAUUUGAGAGCGCGAA